AUUGAACGCUGGCGGCAGGCCUAACACAUGCAAGUCGAGCGGAUGAAGGGAGCUUGCUCCUGGAUUCAGCGGCGGACGGGUGAGUAAUGCCUAGGAAUCUGCCUGGUAGUGGGGGAUAACGUCCGUAAACGGGCGCUAAUACCGCAUACGUCCUGAGGUAGAAAGUGGGGGAUCUUCGGACCUCACGCUAUCAGAUGAGCCUAGGUCGGAUUAGCUAGUUGGUGGGGUAAAGGCCUACCAAGGCGACGAUCCGUAACUGGUCUGAGAGGAUGAUCAGUCACACUGGAACUGAGACACGGUCCAGACUCCUACGGGAGGCAGCAGUGGGGAAUAUUGGACAAUGGGCGAAAGCCUGAUCCAGCCAUGCCGCGUGUGUGAAGGAGGUCUUCGGAUUGUAAAGCACUUUAAGUUGGGAGGAAGGGCAGUAAGUUAAUACCUUGCUGUUUUGACGUUACCAACAGAAUAAGCACCGGCUAACUUCGUG
rnacentral:rRNA from 1 species